rnacentral:sRNA from 1 species
GUUUUGCGUUAGGGAUUGUAGUGAAAAUCCUUUUUGUGAGCACAAGCAAAAAGAUUGCAAUGAAAAGCUCGACUCUUG